UGGGGAAUAUUGGACAAUGGGCGAAAGCCUGAUCCAGCCAUGCCGCGUGUGUGAAGAAGGUCUUCGGAUUGUAAAGCACUUUUACCCGAGAUGAUAAUGACAGUACCGGGAGAAUAAGCUCCGGCUAACUUCGUG
rnacentral:rRNA from 2 species